rnacentral:rRNA from 1 species
AAUCUCAGUUCGGAUUGAAGGCUGAAAUUCGCCUUCAUGAAGCUGGAAUUGCUAGUAAUGGCAGGUCAGCAUACUGCCGUGAAUACGUUCCCGGGCCUUGUACACACCGCCCGUCAAGCCAUGGGAGCCGGGGGUGCCUGAAGUUCGUGACCGCAAGGAGCGACCUAGGGCAAAACUGGUGACUGGGGCUAAGUCGUAACAAGGUAUC